rnacentral:rRNA from 1 species
GCAAGUCGAGGGGUAACAUGAUGUAGCAAUACAUUGAUGACGACCGGCGUACGGGUGAGUAACGCGUAUGCAACCUACCCUGUACAGGGGGAUAGCCCGGAGAAAUUCGGAUUAAUACCCCAUAAAGAUAUUUAGAGGCAUCUUUAGAUAUUUAAAGUUUCGACGGUACGGGAUGGGCAUGCGUAACAUUAGCUAGUUGGUAGGGUAACGGCCUACCAAGGCGACGAUGUUUAGGGGUCCUGAGAGGGUGAUCCCCCACACUGGUACUGAGACACGGACCAGACUCCUACGGGAGGCAGCAGUGAGGAAUAUUGGUCAAUGGGCGCAAGCCUGAACCAGCCAUCCCGCGUGCAGGAAGACGGCGCUAUGCGUUGUAAACUGCUUUUCCAGGGGAAGAAAAACCUCGAUGUGUCGGGGCUUGCCGGUACCCUGGGAAUAAGCAUCGGCUAACUCCGUGCCAGCAGCCGCGGUAAUACGGAGGAUGCGAGCGUUAUCCGGAUUUAUUGGGUUUAAAGGGUGCGUAGGCGGAUUAAUAAGUCAGUGGUGAAAACCUGCAGCUUAACUGUAGAAUUGCCAUUGAUACUGUUAGUCUUGAGUACGGUCAAGGUAGGCGGAAUGUGUAAUGUAGCGGUGAAAUGCUUAGAUAUUACACAGAACACCGAUUGCGAAGGCAGCUUACUGGGCCAUUACUGACGCUGAUGCACGAAAGCGUGGGGAGCGAACAGGAUUAGAUACCCUGGUAGUCCACGCCGUAAACGAUGAUCACUCGCUGUUGGCGAUACACAGUCAGCGGCUAAGCAAAAGCAUUAAGUGAUCCACCUGGGGAGUACGGCCGCAGGCUGAACUCAAGGAAUUGACGGGGCCCGCACAAGCGGAGGAACAUGUGGUUUAAUUCGAUGAUACGCGAGGAACCUUACCUGGGCUUAAAUGUAGAGUGCAUGAGGUGGAACACUUCUUCCUUCGGGCUCUUGCAAGGUGCUGCAUGGUUGUCGUCAGCUCGUGCCGUGAGGUGUCGGGUUAGUCCAUAACGAGCGCACCCUUAU